AUUACAUGUAGAGCUGUCUACUCAACUGCAGUUUCUGAAAUCCAUUGUUUCUUCUAAAAGGAAACUGUGCAAUAGCUUGUUAGCAGUGACCAUCUUGCAGCAGCUAUGCAACUUUGAAAAGUUUUGCUGGUCCCCGCUCCGGGGCCACAGUGACUCUGUCCUAGCAGGUGUCUUUUGUCUUUCUGUAAUUACUUCAUUGUGCUUUGCAUUUCCAGGAGGUUUCCCUAUGUUUGGGUAAAAUGUUUAGCAAGUUGUAAAACAUCAGACCUUCUGAAAAGGGUGAAAUAAACACUUCUGCAGUGGGACUUGGAGUAAUCUGAGGGACAUUUUAUAUACUUUUAAAAAUCAGAAUUUAAUUGGGAUGCCAGAUUUCUAGCAACUUGCAUCUUUAGUUUUCCAGAUAAUCUGGAAGUUAGCAUUUGAUAAAUGAUUUUUUAAGCAAAUAUAAAGAUUUUUGUUAAUUUAUAAUUUAUUAAUGUGUUGUUACUGUAAUUGAAAAUGUUGUGGAUACUUUUAAAUUCAGUCUUUGUAGAAAGAACUGUAUUAAGCAAAAUUAUGUGAAUAAAUAUUCCCCAAAAAUACAUCUAAUGGUUAAGAAUACUGGAAGAGAGCUAUCAGGGCUGCAACAGUGAAUGUCUUUUUAAAUAACUAUCAAAAUGUCAAGAAGUAGAGUUCACCUUUAGUCUCUGGGGGGGACACAGCCCUGCUGUCCUGCUGUGCUGCGCUGUGCUGCACUGCCCUGCCCUGGGUGUGGAAGGGGAGUCUCUGGUGCUGCUCUGCCGCUCUUCACUCUGACUGUGCCCAGCUCUGUUGCUUGUACCUCUCCCUGCUCACAGGGCAUGAGCACCUGCUGCUAUGGUGCUCACAAGGGCAUGGGCAGGAGCACCUGCUGCUAUGGUGGGGUCGGGUGGGGACUGUCCUGAUAUGGGAAGAACUUGCCUGCUUUCCUAUGGCUGUAGACUACAUAGUACCUCUGCAGUUCCACUGUGAUCGCCUGUUAGGGCCAGUGGUCUGAUCCUGUGUCACAGCUGCCAGCACAGCUCUGUAGGUGUCCUUCAGCCAGGGCUAAGGAGGUUACUCUUCCUUCGAGGGAAAUAGGCUUUCUCUAGGUUUUUGUUUGGUUUUAUGAAAUCGGAAUCCAUUUUACUUGUUCUUUCAGUUCGUAAGCUUUGCUCUCCCCCUGACUUUCCCCAGGGAUGAGCUCUUAGAAUGUGAAUACCCACUUUGCCCUUUCCGCUGGUGUAUUGUCUGGAAAGACUCACUUCUGCUGCCUUCUCUUCUUGGAGUGCAGCUGUGCUAAUUAAUGUUUAGACUCCCUGGGAAGAUGACCUGCUAAGCUCAACUUGUUGGUGUCUCAGCCUGAGUUCCCCCUUCUGUCACACUGUCCUCCAGCAGUCUUCUGUGCUGCCUCCAAGCUCCUGUGGUGUGCGAGAGCUCACGGCUGCGUGGCACGGCCGUGGACACUUGACUGUGCUGAUGCUUCUCUGGACAGUGGUUCCUGAAGUCCACUCAGACAGCCUGGUUGGUUUUUGUUUUUAUUUGGUCAGAUUUUAUAAAGUUGACAUUUUGACUUUAAAUUUUAUCUGUACAAUUACCUAAAAAGAAUAAAUUAGAAAUAGAAGAAAAGAGAGAAACUUAGAUGUUCCAGUUUCUAUUCACAGUUACUAUUCUGGGAAUGUUCUACUAUAAGUGAUACUUUAUAUAAUAUUGCUUAUAAUACUUAACAGGCUGUAUGCAGACAUUGAGUAGCAUCCAUCAUAAAGUUAUAGAAUAUUCAGCUGAAACUACUGAAUAUGGAGACAAAAUAAAAAUU
rnacentral:lncRNA from 1 species